ensembl:misc_RNA Metazoa_SRP Metazoan signal recognition particle RNA
GCUGGGUGUGGUGGCGCGCGCCUGUAAUCCCAGCUACUCAGGAGGCUGAGGCAGGAGAAUCACUUGAACCCGGGAGGCGGAGUUUGCAGUGAGCCGAGAUCGUGCCACUGCACUCCAGCCUGGGUGACAGAGUGAGACUCUGUCUCAA